rnacentral:lncRNA from 1 species
GAUAUAGAGUGUGAGAGAGAAGAGUGGAGGCUGGUUCUCAGGCUCCAGAAGCAUAAGCCUGCAUGGAGCAUAGCGUCACUGAGCAAGACAGGUGUGGAGGAUGAGAAGCGGGCCACAGGAUGGGAAGGGAAUCUGUGUGGAGGCGGUGCCCUAAACAUGCUGCCUUGAGGAGGGACCUCUACAUGGGGUGGCCGGGCACAGCCAGCCGGGUGAACAUAAAUCUCUCUAGGACUUCGUUAUAAAGUAAGGCCUGUGCCCUAGAUGUCCCUGGAGACAGCGCCAUCUGGUGGAACUUCCUGUAACGAUCGAGAUGUUCCGUCUGUGCCGUCCAACAUGGGAGCCAUGCAGGACACAUGGUGACUGAGCACUGGGACUGUGUGCCGCGUGACCAAGAGCAGCUCAGCUCUAAAGUCUCCUCCAGCUUUAUGAUGUCACUUCCUGUAUCUUCUCUACACAUUCUUUCCUUCAGCCUGUUGUUUGUAAGUUUUUAUGUAGGAAAGUAGAAAAUUCAGAAUAUGUUUCAUCAGGUUUUUGUUUGGCAAAGUGUCAACAUGUUUAUAACAGAGUUAAAGAUAAAGGAAA